rnacentral:tmRNA from 1 species
UUCCUUUCAAACGGUGGCUCUUGCGCCUAUAUUAACAGUGCUGGUUCGCCAGCUAUGGCGAUAAACGUGCUGUAGAAUAAGCAGAGCGGACCCGGGGGCGGUACCCGGCGCCUCCACCAUUUCAGCCUGCCACCCGGUGCCAAACCGGCCAAGAUCAGGUUUCAGGCUGAAAGCAUGGGGGCGAAAUAGGAUCGACGCAUGUGGUAAAGGCAGUAUUUUCGCUCGGUAUGGUACCCGCCGUUAUCGGGCCAUGUAGUAGUUGCAAAUGACAACACUGCUCCGGUAGCAAUCGCAGCCUAGUUCUGCGUGAGCAACCGAUCUUAAGCCCAGAUUGAUUGAGCUCAGUCUGGCGGGGUUUGGAUCGCACCUGGCAACAGAAGCGGUCCGCU